rnacentral:rRNA from 1 species
AGCGAACGCUGGCGGCAGGCCUAACACAUGCAAGUCGAACGAACUCUUCGGAGUUAGUGGCGGACGGGUGAGUAACACGUGGGAACGUUCCUUUAGGUUCGGAAUAACUCAGGGAAACUUGUGCUAAUACCGAAUGUGCCCUUCGGGGGAAAGAUUUAUCGCCUUUAGAGCGGCCCGCGUCUGAUUAGCUAGUUGGUGAGGUAAAGGUUCACCAAGGCGACGAUCAGUAGCUGGUCUGAGAGGAUGAUCAGCCACAUUGGGACUGAGACACGGCCCAAACUCCUACGGGAGGCAGCAGUGGGGAAUCUUGCGCAAUGGGCGAAAGCCUGACGCAGCCAUGCCGCGUGAAUGAUGAAGGUCUUAGGAUUGUAAAAUUCUUUCACCGGGGACGAUAAUGACGGUACCCGGAGAAGAAGCCCCGGCUAACUUCGUG